UACGUAGGGGGCGAGCGUUAUCCGGAAUUACUGGGUGUAAAGGGAGCGUAGACGGCGAGGUAAGCCUGAAGUAGAAGCCCGCGGCCCAACCGCGGAACUGCUUUGGGAACUGUUUUGCUGGAGUAUGGGAGGGGUAAGCGGAAUUCCUGGUGUAGCGGUGAAAUGCGUAGAUAUCAGGAGGAACACCGGUGGCGAAGGCGGCUUACUGGACCAUAACUGACGUUGAGGCUCGAAAGCGUGGGGAGCGAACAGG
rnacentral:rRNA from 1 species